AGGUGUUGAAGGUAAUGUGCCUUCUAUUAAGGUAACAAUAUAAUAAGUCUUAUCUUGAAUAAAAAAGCACAGCAGAUUCCUUGGAUCUGGAGAUAUGGAAUGGUGGUACUACAGCAUUGUGGGAGCCAGGUAAACUCAAGGAUAUAAUAAAGAGAAGACAAUAGUGCACUCUGUAGAACUUCUGCAUAAGCAAUAAGUGAGCAGGGUGCCUUAAAGGACCACUAUA